rnacentral:misc_RNA from 1 species
AAGUCGUAACAAGGUUUCCGUAGGUGAACCUGCGGAAGGAUCAUUACUGAAGAAUUGAUAAGGUUGAGCUGACUCUUUUAACGAGGGUAACGUGCUUGCCUUGUCGCUUUUUCUAUUCUCCCUUGUGAACCUUUUCUUCGUAGGCUGGUUUGGAUUUUAUGGAUGAAUGAUCUUUAUUAUUAUUAUUUUACAUUGAGACUCGCGCCAGUGCAUUUCAGUGAAUCUGAUUCGCAUUAUUAAGGUGCUUGACUCUACCUUCAUUCAUUCAUAAUCCUUGUCAGUCUAUGAUAUUACAUCUACUCUUCAGUUUAUGAAUGUCUUAUUGUUGGUUUGAAUACCCAAUAAAUUGUUAGUACAACUUUCAGCAACGGAUCUCUUGGCUCUC